rnacentral:rRNA from 1 species
GCGAUAACGAACGAGACCUUCCUCUGCUAAAUAGCCCGGCUAGCUUUGGCUGGUCGCUGGCUUCUUAGAGAGACUAUCGACUCAAGUCGAUGGAAGUUGGAGGCAAUAACAGGUCUGUGAUGCCCUUAGAUGUUCUCGGCCACACGCGUAUUACACUGCGUGAGGCAACGAGUUAUUCACCUUGAUCGAAAGAUUUGGGUAAUCUUGUUAAACUCACGCGUGCUGGGGAUAGAGCAUUGCAAUUAUUGCUCUUCAACGAGGAAUGCCUAGUAAGCGUAUUUCAUCAAAAUGCGCUGAUUACGUCCCUGACCUUUGUACACACCGCCCGUCGCUAGUACCGAUUGAAUGGGUA